GAGACGGCUUUGGUCGCCUUGGCGGAUGACCUACACAGAGAACUUCCUGAAGCCAAGGAAGCCGUACAGACCCUAAACCAGUGCCUGGCAUCAGUGAUGGACUGGAUGAGGAACAGACCUCCUGAUGAGAACUUCAAAAUGCAGGAGGAUGCUGCACUUCAGGAAUAUUUUGAAAACAAUGGGGAUACUACUUAAGAAGAUAAGAAGAGCCUGCUGGAUCAGGCCAAUAGCUAACAUUGGCCAACUAGAUGUCCACAGGAUGCCUGCAAAUAUGACGACAUACCUUGCUGAAAGAAGAUGACCAGGAGGCCCAAAAGGGAAGGUUUGACCUUGUGAGAGAGAGGCCCCAUCUGCACCUGGCUAGAGAGAAGAAAAGAAAAGGUUUGGUAGAGAGGACAAUAUUCCCAUGGAACAUGUUUCCUAUACUGCAUUCAAAUGCAUCACUGCAACUAAGAUGGCAGCCAUUUGCUUUGGUUUGAACAGGAAGAAAUGGUGUAAAAAUCCUCCAAGAUCCAGGCAGACUGGUCUGAAAGGCAUUACACAUGCAGCCAACUACCUCCAUUCCAAAUGAACCCCACCAACAUUAAUCAGUCGUGUGUGUUGUGCUGAAUGUAUCCAUAACAAUCCUUAACGUACGUCUUGCAAGGUGAACUCAUCAGCCCUGAUACAUGCUUCUUACAGAUGACAAUCCUGUCUGGCCUAGUGGCAGGUGGCAGGGGGAGAGAACCAAGCCUCCUGGCACACCUCCUUCUCUGGCCAAGAUAAGAUGUCUUCUCCCUUGCCUUGAUGUUCUUUCUGGAAGGCAGGUUGUGCAGCCUCUCAAUGGCCCUAGGACCUCUGACCACUUGUGAAAACAUUGGGGUCUCUUUCUCUCUCUGUCUCACACACACACACACAUUGUGCUGAAUCCAAAACUAUGGCUCUCCUUGGCAAACUAACGGGAAAGCAAGAUCUGUUGGAGCAUUAAUACUAUGAGCCCUUCCAUCUUAUAUUCAGGUUGUAUAUGUGUAAAUAAAACAAUAUUUCCUUAAGGCAUUACAGUCUCCAGUGGGGAUGGGAAAAUCUGUCCAUUUCAGUUCUCUCAGUUUCUCACUUUUCUAAUGUUAAAUUCAGUCCUCUACUUUUCUGCAGCAAUCUGUGAUUUAAAAAAAAAGAUCCUCAAGAAAAUUCUCCACCAUUUUAGUGCUGAUUUCUCCAAAUAAACACAGUUUUGCAGUUUUGACAAAGAUACACAUUUU